UAUUGUUGGCGGAGGCUACACAUGCAAGCCGAGCGGUAUUUAUUCUUCGGAAUUGAGAGAGCGGCGUACGGGUGCGUAACACGUGUGCAACCUACCUUUAUCAGGGGAAUAGCCUUUCGAAAGGAAGAUUAAUACUCCAUAAUAUAUGAACAGGCAUCUGCUUAUAUUGAAAACUCCGGUGGAUAGAGAUGGGCACGCGCAAGAUUAGAUAGUUGGUGAGGUAACGGCUCACCAAGUCAUUGAUCUUUAGGGGUCCUGAGAGGGAGAUCCCCCACACUGGUACUGAGACACGGACCAGACUCCUACGGGAGGCAGCAGUGAGGAAUAUUGGACAAUGGGUGAGAGCCUGAUCCAGCCAUCCCGCGUGAAGGAUGACGGUCCUACGGAUUGUAAACUUCUUUUGUACAGGGAUAAACCCAGAUACGUGUAUCUGGCUGAAGGUACUGUACGAAUAAGCACCGGCUAACUCCGUGCCAGCAGCCGCGGUAAUACGGAGGGUGCAAGCGUUAUCCGGAUUUAUUGGGUUUAAAGGGUCCGCAGGCGGACCAAUAAGUCAGUGGUGAAAUCUCAUAGCUUAACUAUGAAACUGCCGUUGAUACUGUUGGUCUUGAGUAAAUUAGAGGUAGCUGGAAUAAGUAGUGUAGCGGUGAAAUGCAUAGAUAUUACUUAGAACACCAAUUGCGAA
rnacentral:rRNA from 1 species